GUGGGUAUAGCUCAGUGGUAGAGCACAUGCUUCACAUGCACAAGGUCCUGGGUUCUAUCCUCAGUACUUCCA
rnacentral:tRNA from 1 species